AUGGCACUAUUAAGAGUUUUUUUACUUCUUUCUCUCUUCAAUCUCUUCACUACAUUAUCAUCUUCAGAGGCUGUCUCACCAAUUCUUGAUGUUUCUUCUCUCAAUAGAACAAGUUUUCCAAAAGGCUUCCUUUUUGGGACAGCUUCUUCAUCAUAUCAGUAUGAAGGUGCUGCAAAAGAAGGUGGGAGAGGACCAAGUAUAUGGGACACCUUCACUCAUAAAUUUCCAGAUAAGAUACAAGAUAAGAGCAGUGGAGAUAUUGCGGUCGACCAAUAUCACCAUUAUAAGGUAACAUAA